CCCGGUGUCACCCUAUGGGGUCCCUAUGGGGUCCUGGUGUCCCCCUAUGGGUGUCCCCCUAAGGGGUCCCUAUGGGGUCUCUAUGGGGUCCCAGCGUGACCCUAUGGGGGUCCUAUGGGGUCCCGGUGUCACCCUAUGGGGUCGCUAUGGGGUCCCUAUGGGGUCCUGGCGUCACCCUACAGGUGUCUCUAUGGGGUCCCUAUGGGGUCCCAGUGUCCCCCUAUGGGGUCUUUAUGGGGUCCCGGUGUCACCCUAUGGGUGUUCCCCUAUGGGGUCCCUAUGGGGUCCCUAUGGGGUGCCACCGACCCCCUUUGGGUCUCUAUGAGGUCCCUGCGUCACCCUGCGACACCACAGAACCCUAUAGGACCCCA
ensembl:lncRNA